AUACCUUUCUCAGCCUUUUGGCUAAGAUCAAGUGUAAUAUCUGUUCUAAAAGGUAUAGAUUGACUCUUUGGAAACCUGGUUCGGUAUAGUAUAAUUAUUAGGGUCUCGGAUGUCAAAUUAU
rnacentral:snRNA from 2 species